CACUUAAUCAGUGCUAUAUAUAUAGACACACACAAGGGCAUAUAUAUAUAUAUAUACACGCAUGUAUAUAUAUCUGUGAGAGCCACAUCCACUGUGUAAGAAAUGGGGUGGCUCCAAUCUCUCCUCUUCCCUCUGAAGAAGCUCUGGUUCCGCUUCAAUUCUGCUCAAAAGAAGAGAAGAGGGAUAUACAUACUAUACGAAGAUGUGAAGUCGUGUCCGUACGAAGACGUGCAUGUGUUAUGGUCGAUACUCGUGGAGUCACACCCAAUACCUCAUCGUUUGCAACCCAAACCAUGAUUAUUAAUCCAUAUAUUUUUUUUUUACAUUUUCUUAUUUUUUUUUGUUCUUAUAGAGUUCUUAAUGUAAAAGACAAAACAUAUAACUCGUGACGUCAUGCAUGUUCUUCUUACGUUUUCCCUCAUGUACAUAAUACGACCGACACACACUUUCUCAUCUCUC